rnacentral:tRNA from 1 species
GCCCGCUUGGCUUAGUGGUACAGCGUCGCACUCGUAUUAUACUAUAUGAAAUGCGAAGAUCCGCGGUUGUAGGUCUACUCCAAGUUCGAAAACAGGUUCGUCCGACUAAUUUAUCUUAGCGAUUCCGCGAGUGGGCA